rnacentral:rRNA from 1 species
AUUGAACGCUGGCGGCAUGCUUUACACAUGCAAGUCGAACGGCAGCGCGGGCUUCGGCCUGGCGGCGAGUGGCGAACGGGUGUGUAAUACAUCGGAACGUGCCCAGUAGUGGGGGAUAGCUCGUCGAAAGCCGGAUUAAUACCGCAUACGACCUUAGGGUGAAAGCUGGGGAUCUUCGGACCUCUCGCUAUUUUAUCGCCCGAUGGCAGAUUUGCUAGUUGGUGGGGUAAAGGCCUACCAAGGCGACGAUCUGUAGCUGGUCUGAGAGGACGACCAGCCACAGUGGAACUGAGAAACGGCCCAGACUCCUACGGGAGGCAGCAGUGGGGAAUUUUGGACAAUGGGCGAAAGCCUGAUCCAGCAAUGCCGCGUGUGUGAUGAAGGCCUUCGGGUUGUAAAGCACUUUUGGCGGGAACGAAAAGGACUGUGCCAAUACCACGGUUCGAUGACGGUACCCGAAGAAUAAGCACCGGCUAACUACGUG